UACAGAGGUCCCAAGCGUUGUUCGGAUUCAUUGGGCGUAAAGGGUGCGUAGGUGGCGCCGUAAGUCGGGUGUGAAAUUUCGGAGCUUAACUCCGAAACUGCAUUCGAUACUGCGGUGCUUGAGGACUGGAGAGGAGACUGGAAUUCAUGGUGUAGCAGUGAAAUGCGUAGAGAUCAUGAGGAAGACCAGUGGCGAAGGCGGGUCUCUGGACAGUUCCUGACACUGAGGCACGAAGGCCAGGGGAGCGAACAGG
rnacentral:rRNA from 1 species